rnacentral:rRNA from 1 species
UGGGGAAUAUUGCACAAUGGGCGAAAGCCUGAUGCAGCGACGCCGCGUGCGGGAUGAAGGCCUUCGGGUUGUAAACCGCUUUUGAUUGGGAGCAAGCGAGAGUGAGUGUACCUUUCGAAUAAGCACCGGCUAACUACGUGCCAGCAGCCGCGGUAAUACGUAGGGUGCAAGCGUUAUCCGGAAUUAUUGGGCGUAAAGAGCUCGUAGGCGGUUUGUCGCGUCUGGUGUGAAAGUCCAUCGCUUAACGGUGGAUCUGCGCCGGGUACGGGCAGGCUAGAGUGCGACAGGGGAGACUGGAAUUCCCGGUGUAACGGUGGAAUGUGUAGAUAUCGGGAAGAACACCAAUGGCGAAGGCAGGUCUCUGGGUCGUCACUGACGCUGAGGAGCGAAAGCGUGGGGAGCGAACAGGAUUAGAUACCCUGGUAGUCCACGCCGUAAACGGUGGAUGCUGGAUGUGGGGCCCAUUCCACGG